UCCGUCCAGUCCUAAGGCAUUAAGCCAAAUAAUUUGUGUUCGAGUAAAAUGUGCCUACAACACUCUCGUGGUCCUGCGGGUUUCAAGAGGCGGAGAUUUUGCUCUUGUCCCGAAGAGUUUGUUGUAGCAGUUAACCCUUGGUUAAGGGAUGAGCCUCGUUUCCAUGACACGUUGCCCCUUGUUUAAAUCACUCCCAAAUGCCAGGCUUUUAUUUUGGAACCCACCAGUCCCGUUGUUGCAACUGUGGCCACCUCGGCUUUCCCCUUCCUUUCACGCAGGUUCGUGCCUGGUGUUAGCCCGGAUGAGAGCCCGGCUCCUCCUCGGGCUGCCUGCGGUCUCCUGAAGCAUCCAAACCCUCAGUCAGCUUGCCUGGUGACUGCCACAGGGAAGAGUCCCAGCUCUUCCCGCUGGGGCAAUGCUGUUGGCGGGCACACCGCAGCACGAUGAAGCCACCCCCCCUGCAGAGGAGCAGGUUCCAAGCUGCUGGCGCCGGCCCGAGACGUGGGGGCCACGCUCCCUGCCGGCACCGCUGACCCCGGCAGGGCCGGCCCCGGUGACGCCGGUCCCCUCCGAGCGACGCGCCACCACAUCUGAGCGCCAGGCAACCGGUUUUGUCACUUGCUUUGAGACGCGUCCUGCCUGGUCUCUCUUGUUUCAUUAC